GUUUGUUAAAUGUGGCAAAUACAUUAUUUUCCUUUUUAGGUUAGCACUUUAUAUUUUCUAAGAAAACCUUACAUAUUUUUGGUACUGCUCUUUUUUUUUUUUUUUUUUUUUUUUGAGGCGGAAUCUCUCUCGCCCAGGCUGGAGUGCAGUGGCGCGAUCUCAGCUCACUGCAAGCUCCGCCUCCCGGGUUCACGCCAUUCUCCCGCCUCAGCCUCCCUCAGCGUCCGGAGUAGCUAGGACUACAGGCGCCCGCUACCACGCCCGGCUAAUUUUUUUGUAGUUUUAGUAGAGACGGGGUUUCACCGUGUUAGCCAGGAUGGUCUCCAUCUCCUGACCUCGUGAUCCGCCCGCCUCGGCCUCCCAAAGCGUUGGGAUUACAGGAGUGAGCCACCGCGCCCGGCCGCAGAUUCUUGAAGAAACUGCUCUCAUAAGCUAAGGUUCCUUAUGAUUCUGCAAGGAAGAGAAGACUAAAGCAAAUCACUGUCUGAAAACAUAACAGCUGGCUAAAGUCACAGUGUCCAUGUAACUAACUCCUGGUUAAGAGGAUAUGGAUAGAAGGCACAUGUUCAACUUCUGGCUUCUGUCCUUGAAAAGUGUGAUGAUUCCAUCCUUUGCUGUCUUCCUUCCCGCUGACUGGAAUGUGGACUUGGUAGUGAGCUACCUUGGACUAUGUGGAUGAAGACAAAGAUAAAAGGAACCAAGGACUCUGAUGAUUCUGUAGAGAAGAGGAACCGUAGCUGCUCAAACGUUCAUGUGAAAGAAGAAUAAACUAUCAGAUUUAAGCCACUGCUAUUUUGGGUCUUUGUGAUAAACAGUGUUUACCAUAUCCUAAUUCACUAUUCCUUCCAUUUCUAGGUCAACCAUGUUGAAUUAAAUAUAGUGCUCUAACUUGCAA
rnacentral:lncRNA from 1 species